UGUUUGCACUUAGCGGGAAGGGUAAGAACCUUCGACUAAGGUUCGACUCGAGCGCCAGCGAGAGAACGUUGCCGCAGGCAACGGCCCGAAGGGCGAGG
rnacentral:sRNA from 2 species